UAGUAACUAUAUAAACAUUGAGGCUAUUCAUUACAUUUGCAGUUAUCAGAUAUUCUUACAAGUUAGAUUAUCUACCGCCCAAUUUGGAUAAUGAUUUCAAAGAUCGUAUUUCUGCUUUUUUUGGUUUCUCUGCCUCUUGUUCUCUGCGAUAACAAAUGCAAUGAUGCAUCCGGUAUUUCAGGAGGAGAAUGGGCACUUUUCGCUUCACUUAUCUUUGUUUUAAACCAAUUACGUCUGCACGCUGGAUGGAAUCAUUGAAAUAAGUUUAAAUAAUGCAUGAAUUGUAAAUGAUUUUUCCUUUAAUCCAUGAAUAAAUAAUAUUAAAUAUAUAUACAUUUUUGAGUUCUGUUUGUUUUGUAUAAUAAAACUUAAUUCGAAGAUAAAUUAAAAACUAAUCAUUAUGAUAAAAUAACAUUGUAAUUACAUUUUAAAUGCCAAUAUAAACGCAAUACUAGUAAUAAUUAGAGCUAUUGCAAUAAUUUGUUUAGGUUACUGAAUAGCUCGGGGUGUUAAAGUAACGUUUAUUACCAAGAGUUUUGUUGAUAUUGUCAAAUAAUUCGUCAUUUCUCUAGAGCUUAAUAAAUAUUACGAAUCUGAUAAUAAAAUAUUAAUACCUAACAUCAAAUUAAACUAAAACGUUCUUUAUCUGUCACUCGGUCUGUUGGUCUGGAAAUGGUACUGAAA